rnacentral:rRNA from 1 species
AGAGUUUGAUCCUGGCUCAGGAUGACACGACCCUGGCGGCGUGCCUAAUACAUGCAAGUCGAGCGGUAAGGCUCUGCACUUAGUAUCUUGAUCUGCGGUAACUCUUCGGAGAWGCCACAUCUAGACCAACUCAAACCUAGGCUAGGAAUGAGAGUNGGAAGAGGGAAAAAUGGAAUAUUNGGGUAGUAGAGUACACGAGCGGCGCGACGGCUGAGUAACACGUAGGAACAUACCCCAAAGUGAGGGAUAAGCACCGGAAACGGUGUCUAAUACCGCAUGUGGUCUAAGGGCUAAAGCUUCGGCGGUUUGGGAAUGGGCUGCGUAUAUUAGUUGUUGGUGAGGUAAUGGCUCACCAAGACUACGAUCAUUAGCUGGUCUGAGAGGAUGACCAGCCAGACUGGAACUGAGAACGGUCCAGACUCCUACGGGAGGCAGCUAGUAGGGAAUUUUCCACUAAUGGGCGCAAGCCUGAUGGAGCAACGCCGCGUGCAGGAUG